GUUGUCUAGUGGUAGAAUAGUAUUCUGUUAUAGUAUAGACCCGGGUUCAAUUCCCGCAAACA
rnacentral:tRNA from 1 species